rnacentral:sRNA from 1 species
UCUGUGCAAGGCUGCACGCAUCGAAUGAUGAGCUCAGGAGCGUCAAGGGGGACGAAGAGCAGGCAGGAAUACGAUUCAGGAACGAAUCGGACAGGGACAGGGAAAUUCGCAGGAGCGAUUUGGCGAGGGAAAAACCGGGACGUUGUGAGCCAUUAAUGGAUUUAUCUCGUGUUUCCUUCGUAUGAAGGUGCGAAAUAAGGCGACAGCAUAAGCUGUCGCCUUUUUUCUUUGUCUGCUU